UGAGGAAUAUUGGUCAAUGGGCGCAAGCCUGAACCAGCCAUCCCGCGUGCAGGAAGACGGCCCUAUGGGUUGUAAACUGCUUUUCCAGGGGGAGAAUUUUUCUGUCGUGACAGGAAUUGACGGUACCCUGGGAAUAAGCAUCGGCUAACUCCGUGCCAGCAGCCGCGGUAAUACGGAGGGUGCGAGCGUUAUCCGGAUUUAUUGGGUUUAAAGGGUGCGUAGGCGGAUUGAUAAGUCAGUGGUGAAAACCUGCAGCUUAACUGUAGACUUGCCGUUGAUACUGUCAGUCUUGAGUAUGGUCAAGGUAGGCGGAAUGUGUAAUGUAGCGGUGAAAUGCUUAGAUAUUACACAGAACUCCGAUUGCGAAGGCAGCUUACUGGGCCAUUACUGACGCUGAUGCACGAAAGCGUGGGGAUCGAACAG
rnacentral:rRNA from 1 species